GGCUCUCUAUUUGUCUCUUCUCUUUUGAAGCCUUUAUUUUUUGGCAGCAUUUGGGGGUUUUUAAAAAAGGGAAUGGAAGUUACUCUUCAGCCUGAAAUAAAAAAAAAAAUAUUAAUUACCAUCUUCCCAAACUGUCCAACUCCCUAAACGUCUGUGAUUUGCAUAGAAAGGGCAAAUAUUAGAUUUUCAUGUCAUGUGCUCUAUGAUGCACCUUCUUGUCUCAAAAUAACACUUGGAGAGAAGCUUAGAGUGCUUUUUCAGCCUGUCAUUGUGCAGGUGGUGUCAUUAGAAUUUCAGAAUAGAGGCAAAUUAUCAAAGCUAAUAAAGUCCUAGGCAAUAUUCUACUGCAGCUCUCGCAGUGAGAAUUGAUGAAGCUUCCAUGCAAAGAAGAGAGGACCUCUUCUCCCUUGUCUUUGGAUUUAGUUCAUUGCCUACAUUGAAAACUUAUGAGAUGCACUUGCCAGAAUUUUGGGUUUUUUACCCCAGUGAUGGCUUUAAAAUACACCAGAACAGACUCCCUUCACAUGCUACAGGCUCUCUGUUUACAUAGAGAUUUUGGCUACAUCUCAAAAAGCACUCAAGCAUAUUUUUUGAUCCAUUUCUCUUCAGGAGAGCAUAUGAGCACCUGAGCAAAGGCAAAACCACAAGUUUUAAAAGAAGAAUUAAGUAAAUGCAAAAUCUGAACUGAGCAAAGGUGUCUCUCCAUGUAGUGAUGAGUUCAUCCAGCAAGUCAAUUCCCCUUCUGUUUUACUCUUCCCUUUCCUUCAAAGAAAAGGUGCAGACAAAGCUGCCCAUCAGCAAUGUUGGUGGUGCCCCUGUGAAAAUGUGUUUAAGAAAGGGAAAAACAUUCAGGACAGGCAGAAGAGUGAGGGAAAAGAUGAUGAGAGACAGUCCAACACUCAUUGAGGUCAGUGGAGAUAAAGGCAGAGGAGGUGUUCCAGGUGGCUGAGAAGACAUCCAUCCCUUGUGGAGAGAACAACAGUGGAGCAGGGGAAAAGUGUGAAGAGGAAGGAGCAGCAGAAAGGAGCUGUUAGGGACUGACCACAAGGCUCAGUGAGGUCACAGCAUCCCCCUGGGCUGCUCAGCAAUGAGGGAGGAGGUAGAGGGGCUGGGAAUGGAGUGAGGUAAAAUGGGAAAAAGCAGGAGGAGAAUGUGCUGUUUUAAUUUUAUGUCUUUCUUUCUGAUUUGUCAACUCUGUUUUUAAUUGGUAAUCAUUUAAAUUAAUUUUUCCCAAGCUGAGUGUGCUUGGCCCAUGAGAGUAACCCAUAAGUGAUCUCCCUGUCCUUAUCUCAACCCAUCCAGCUUUUUAAUCUGAUUUUCUCUGCCUCUCCUGUUGAGGGGCAGUAUGGAUGCAGCUCUGAUCUCUGUGACAGGGACAGGACUCAGGGAAUUGCUGAAGCUGUACCAGAGGAGGAUUAGACUGGACAUUUGGGAAAGGUUCUCCCCCAGAGGGUGCUGGGGAUGGCCCCAAGGCUGCCAGAGCUCCAGGAGGGUUUGGACAACACUCCCAGGGAUGCACAGGGUGGGGUUGUUGGGGUGUCUGUGCAGGGACAGGGGUUGGACUGGAUGAUCCUGGUGUGUCCCAUCCCACUCAGGAUAUUCUGUGAUUCUGUGAGUGGCAGUUGGCCAAAGUCAGCUCACCACCGGUCUAAAUUAUUUCUGUGGCAGGAGGCACAGGGAGCAAUUUUUGUGUGGUUUGUGCGUAAUUACAACCAGCUGCAGUGCUGAAGGGUUAUGUCACUGUGAAUGUAGGUAGAGAUCUUACCUUUAUGAUGAUGGAUUACGAAAAGAUAUUGCAGAGAAAUUUUUCUCAAGCUGCUUACAAAUUAAGUUUAAUAUUUGUUGAGACCAGGGAGAGCUUGUCUCCAGGAAAAGUUUUCUGUGACCAAAAAAGUUUGUGUUUAAUGCUGGCCAGAGACAUCAAUAAUCAUAAUGAAGUGUUUUGGGAGAGGAGUCUUUAAAGUGGACCAUAUUUGAGUAGGAUGAGAAGAAUUUUGGAUGCAGAAAAAGAUUUUCAUGGAGAAGCUAGCAGAAACAAUCUGCAUGUCCUUUAGCUAACUUGAAUGAAAAAUCCUGUAGAAAACUUGUUAGGAUAAUGAUUUUCAUUUUCCAGCACUGCAAGAUGUUGCAGGUGAUGAUGCAGUAAUCGCUGAGCAAUAAACACAUUCAGAAACAGCAUAACUUAAAAUUACUUCUUUGUUCCAAUUGCUGAUUUGCAAAUGGAAAAUACUCCCAGUACUGUUAUAAACAGACUCACUGGCAGGCUAUGCAGAAGAGUUCUUUGCCACUUGCCAGCUUUACAGCCCUGCAGGAAGAGAGAUUGACUAAUCCAGUGUAAAGUGCACCACAAUUACCUGUGACAAGCAUAAAACAUUACUUUAUUUAUGAAUGUUGUGGUUUAACUUCAGCCAGCAACUAAGAACCACUCAGCUGCUCACUCAUCCCCAGCCCCUCCAGUGGGACAGGGAGAAGAGUUGAAGAAAGGUAAAACCCAUGGGUUAAAAGCAGUUUAAUAACUGAAAUAAAUUAAAUAAUAAUAUAAGGAAAAUCCUUUACUUAGGGUAAGGGCUGCUGAGCAACAACCAAACCCUCAGUGUGUGAUUCACAUUGUUCACAUUCUAAAGACAAAACACAGCACUGUACCAAUUACUAAGAAGAAAAUUAACUCUAGCCCAGCUGCAACCAGGACAAUCAAACACUUUUUUAUCAACUGUUGCUUGUGGUACCUUGCUGACUAUCUACAUGCAAACAAAUCUGUGCCAAAACCUCCACAAAUACUAAGGCAGAACAACUUCUACAUCUCCAAACCUGGUUCUGGAGGCUGUGGAGAGUUAACUACCUCUGUCACCAGUUCACCCAGCUGCUUCUUCACUCCUCCUCCCCUCCCUCUCUACCCUAAAGCAGGAUGGGAGAGGAGAACAGGAAAGGCAAAAGUGAGAAAAACUCAUGGAUUGAUACAAAAAGAGUUUAAUGACUGUAAAAAAACACGCUAAACAAUAACAAAAAAACUAAAUCAGAACCCCCAGCUGAUGGCAAGGCAAUCCCUGACCACCUCCCACUGUCAGACUGGUGCCAAGCCAGGCUAUGAGCAAUGGCUGCUCUGGAAAAUUGGUGAUGUCUGCUUUUCUUAGGAGUGACUUGUUUUGAAGGUGUGGCAGUAGAGGGUUUUUUUGCACUUCACUGUUUUCUUUUCCUCCUACUGUGAAAGGAAAAUUAAUUUCCGAGGAUUCUAUUUUGUUGUAGAAAAGAUGACAGCCUUGCCUUUGGUUUUCUAAUUGUAAUGAUACAUUAAAAAGUUGGGUUUUUUUACUAACUCACAAAUCAGAGAAACUGCAAAUGAUUUCUUCAUUUAUUUGUAGCAGCAAUUUUUUUUUUUUUUCUAUUUAUGCAAGUCUUUGCAUUAAAACCACAAGAGUGCUGACUAUUGAAUUUGGGAAAAAAUCAGGCUAGGGUUAUUUCUUAAGAAGAGAAAAUGAUUGGAGCACUAACUGUGAGGUACAGUUGUAGGGUAAGGACUGGUUAAACCAUAGCAGCUACAACUGAAUUAAUACAUAUACCAUCUUCUAGCUCCAAGCUCAAUUCAGACUCUAAGAGUGCUCAGUUGUCAAAAAAGACAAAAUCCCAACAUAUAUGCUCACCAUAUAAUACAUACAUAAUGCCAAUUUUAUACUGACAAGUAUAUAAUUAUAUAUAUAUAUUAUAUAUAUAUAGUAUAUAAUAUAUUUUUAUAUUAAAAUAUAUUUUAUUUUUAUAUAUAUGUAUAGAUAAUGCCAAUGAUAUAAUUAUAUACAAUUAAUUGCCCAUUAACUUCCGGAUUGAGAAGACCUUCCAUCUCCUCUAGAUAGUCCUAAUAGUGCUCAAUUAGAAUGUUUUCCUAGGGUUGUUUUGUUGUUAUCCUGUAGGGUUUUUUUUUUUUACUCUAACAUUUAAAGUGUAAAAUUAAUAGGGACAUUGAGAUUAUCCCAUGUUGAUACAUUGUGGCAGUGUUACUUUUCAUGUCUUUAUCUUAUUUUAAAAAAGUCAAACAAGCAACAGAAUGAUGUUUGGUUUCUUAAUGUCCUGCUAGGAACAAGACAGUGUUCUGCUGUGUCAGAAUUAUGCCAAAAAGUGGAUGUUAUUUCUUGGGUUGAGCAAAAUCAAGACAGCUAACUUGAAAUUGAACUUAUAUCUUUUUUGAACCAGGUUCUGAGAUUUCAUUUACUUCUUUCAUUUAUUCUCUCCAAUCUCAUUUGAAGAAAGGCAGCUGAAAUAUGGCUCUGGUAAAGGCAUUUUGCAACACUUUAAAAGAAUAAAUUCCUGCUGACAUUUGAUUCAGCAAAACACAUGCUGAAGACACAAAGCCAUCCUCAUCUGCUGGAGUUUGAAAUGUACACUUACAAACCAGGGUGCUUCGCAAAAUCCAUGUGGGCUUUGUGCUCUACUGCUCUGACAAAUGGAGAACACAACCAAAAAAAUGAUGGAAGAGGCUUUUUUUUUUUUUUUUACUGCCUCCUUUCUAUUGUGACUGAGAAGAGAAGCUGGUAUCUCCUUGCUCUCACCCCCCCAGCAGCUGGGAGGCAGGAAAAAUGUCAAAAGGAUGAUGGCUGCUGAAAAGACACGUACCUGUUGUGUGCCACAGUGACUCAGCCUGGACUGCUGCAAGACAAGAACUGUGAAAAGCAAAAAAAACAACCAAAAAAAAUACACACUAUUUUAUACACAUAUCACUUAUUUUUCAUAUUGUUAUGUUUGGGUUGGAAAUUAGGUAAAUGGAGUUCAUCCAUACAAAUUCUUCAUGCUUUCACUACCUCAUUAACUCCACAGCCUAGGCAAAUGAGAAAUGCUUGUAAAACUGCUGUAUUUUAAGUGCAGGCUGGAGACUGGAAAUGCAUGGAACAGAAUGUUCAAGAAACUGUAUUGUUCUUGUUCACUGUCAUUAGUGGCCAUGUAGUUUGAUUCUUAUGAGUUAAUGACACAUAAUAACAAAGGUUAUUUUCAAAACUUACUACAGAUCUUUUGCUCAGCUCAUUUCUGUGGGAGAUAACCAGAUUUAUUGAGAUAAUGCAGCAGAUGUUAUUCAGAGAAUGACUAUCAAAUGGAACCAAUAUCUGUAAAAUAAUCUAUUUUCUAAAUGCAAAUCUCAUUUUCUACAAGUUUUUCCUCACAGCACAGCCACUUUGCAAAUCUCUUACCUUUCUAUUGUGCAAUUCCUUGACACUGCAAAGCAUCAACUGAACUUCACUUGACUCCACCACCCUUCCAGACACUCAUUUUUUUCUGAAUGUGGGUCUUAUUCUUCUACGUGUGCCACAGAAAAUUCAUUGAGGAGUCUUCCAAUAAUUUCAGCUCUUUGUCUGUCCUACACCAUUAAUUCAAAUACAUUUCAGAUCCAAGCUCUAGAGGAAGAGACUUUUUGUGUUAAUAUCUUGCCUGGUCUGGAAGGGAUCCCUUUCUGACUACACAGAGGUAAUGGCACAGCUGGCAGGAAUUUAUCUAGGAAUUUUUCUACAGUUGGGACUGGUCGGAAUUUUUCUAACUCUGUAUGUCAACACUAAGGUCACGUGGAGCUAAAACCCAACAGAAGAAGCAUAACUCCUUUAUUUAAACACAAGCACAGUAAAAUUGCACCUCAAUUCCUGUACAAAUCUGCAGAGCUCAGUGCUUUUCACAGUGCUUGUGGCAGAGGGGUCUCCAUUCUCUGUCCAUCAUAUCAGCUACAGAAAUACAGAUUAUACAGCUUUCAUAGGACAGGCCUUCUCAGCAACAGAAUACAUCUAAAGAAAAACAGGCAUUUGUUGCACAGGAAUCUCCACCACAACACUUGAACAUGAUUCCAAAUGCAUCUCCUCCUUUACCUUUUUCUCUACAAAUAUUUCUUGAGUAUUUUGUAAUUUUGUGAUUUUGUAAAGUCCAGUUAAGUCGAAGAAAUACCUGAAUACAUCAGAGGAUAUUUUAAAAAUGCAAACCCAUAUUUUUAUAUUUUUCCCUGCAUGGUUAUUGGUCAUUGAAACAUGUCCAAGAUAUGCCAGAACUCAAAAAAAUAGUAAGAGAGUCAGUAAUGUAUUGCAGCACGUUGCUGUUGUCAUUGUCCUAUGGAUUUGAAGACAACUCAUUUCCUGUUGACCUUUUCAGCUUUAAUGUCAAGGUUUGGGAGCAUUUUAAAGUGCUGAUUUUCCCUCUCACACUGUAUGACAGCAGACAUCCUUUGUCUUACAUGCCUUAAGAAUUAACAAGUGUAAACCAAGCCUGUCCCAGGACAGCCAUGAAGGGAAGCUCACAGCACUUUGCCUGACACAGAUGACUGUGAAGAUUCAACAGAAUAGCCUGAAAUCUUUCAAGAAUAGGGGUCAGUAAGCACUGCAGAAGUUUGUGCCUCCACAUCUCAGGUGCUUUUGUGUCUCUCCUAGACAUAUGGGUCUGGCUAUGUCUGCUGAGUUCAGCUUACAGGUCUUGCAAUUAAUACCUUCUGAAAGCAGUAGUGUGUGAAAUACCACCUCUCCAAAGAGGUUAUUCUGUCUAGGAAAACUGGUGGUUCAAUGACAGCAAGAGCCUGAAAAAAACCCCAGCCUUUAUGUUUGUUCCCUGCUGCCAAAGAACAUGGUAAAUAAAUAAGGAAACAUGUUUUAUAUCUUUGAUAUUUUGGGGGAAAAAAUGUACAGUAUUAGUUCAUUUUGCUGUAGGUGAAAUGUUGGGAGAUCCUAAAAAUAAUAUCCUCUGCAAGUCAGGAAAAGCUCAGUGGGCAUAAUUUUAUUCAAGUGAAUCAUAUCUGUGUUAAUGCAAGGUGCCCACCAAGCUGCUCUACCCACUCCCCCUUCCAGCUGGACAGUGGAGAGAAACUAAGGUGGAAAACAAUUCAUAGGUUGAGAUAAGGCAGUUUACUAAAAAAAAAGUAAAAGGUUGUGUGCCCUCAAGCAAAGAGAAAACCUGAAGAUUUUAUUCUGUACGUCCCAUCACUUAGCAAGGUCUGGCUUCUUCCUGGGAAGCAGGAUUCCAGCACAUGGAGCUGCUGCUCUGGAAGGUAAAUGCUCAAAUAACACAUCCUCCUCCCCAGUCCUCCAUCCCCACUCGGUUUUUGUCUCUGAGCUGAUGUCACAUGCUCUGGAAUAUCCAUUUGGUCAGUCUGGGGCAGCUGUGCCCACUCCCUGCCCCCUCCAGAGCAGGGAAAGUUGAUAGAGUGGAGUUGUGCCAGCCCUGCCCAGCAGCAGCCAAACCUGGGGUGUUAUCACCUCCUUUCUGUUGGAACUCAAAAUGUCCCUCAGACAUUUUUGGAGGUUCCAGGCCCAGGUCAGAAACAUUUGAGACCCUGGCAGGCAGCUGAAAACAGCUGUGAUUUUGGGUUUGAACCAUGGAACGCUUUACCAACCUUGCAGGAAGAACAAGAAGUCACAAAAGUUUAGAUAUUAUAGUAGACGUAGUCACAAAGUAGAGGGAAGAAUUUUUGGGUGCUGUACAGGGGGGUUUUAAGUCCUGUACAGGGGGGUUUUAGUUUUGUACAUGGGGGUCAGAGGGUUUAAGAUGGAGGGAUUUGGGCCUGUCCUGUCCUCCCUCUUUCUUCUUCCUUAGCUCCGUGUUCUUGGUGAUGUUGGCACUCACAGAUUGGUUUAGAGUAAAAGGCACCAUUUAAUACAGGUAAUAGGCAUUGGGGGAAAACGGUAAACAUGUAACACGUAAUGUACCAUAUAAAAGACAGCACAGCCCUGGGCGGGGAGAGAAGAAGCAGUCGGGAGUCAGAGAGGAUGUCAGGGUGUGUGUGUGCCUCUGCCUGAGCUGUGAGCAAACCACAGCAGCCCGAGAAGAAAAUCUUUUAGAUAACUUGCAAUAAACUGCCUUGAGACCGAACAACAAGAGACUGCUGAGCCUUUCUUUGGAAGCACAGGUUGGAGGAGAAGUUUUUUCACCACACGGAGCCACCCCUGACCUAGGGUGGUCUUCGGCACCUUUCCAGCUCCCAGUGCAAAGCGCGGCACGGAGGGAUGCCCUGGGACUAUCAACCCCACCCCUGCCAGACCACAGCACCAGUGGAGUAGAAGCAUCUCCUCUGUGACCAGGUCUCUGAUAUAUUCUAAAUAUGGCACAUUUGUUUCUGUAAUGGGCAACUACAGGGCUUGUUUAAAUACUCAGGUCAAUUUAUGGCUGCAAACAGUAGCUAGAAAUGAAACUCAUGAAUAGUGAAGCACUGCUUCCCAAGCUGGACACAGGCAAUUAAGCACUCCCUAUGUUUUCUGGAUAAAUAUGCAAAUUUGACAUUCAAUUCGGACUUCUAAAAAAAAAUUCACCCAAGUUAAACCACAAAGAAUAUAAGCAGUCCAAAGCUUAAGUAUUUUUGCUCUAACUUUAAUUGCUUGCCAUAAUUUCUGUUAAGGGCAAGGCACUUUAGUAGGUUAUCAUUCUGCUCCUCCCAACUGUUUCAAAAGUCAAGUGUGGUUUCCCCUGACACAUCACAUAGUGGAUGGAAUUUUUAGGUGGAGAAUUUACAGCAGAGUAGCAUGCAGGGAAUUCAUUAAAGCUGGGAGAAGGAAGUCACUGCAACAACACUGCAGUGUUGUUUGCAUAACUUAGUUUGCCUGUUGCAAAGUAAGACUAACUACUGAACUGCCUUAAUAAAUUACAUUUUUCAGUAGUUAACGAGAAGCACUUAGCAGGUUCUGGAAGAAAGAGGAUUAAAAAGUUUAUCAUAUGAAGUAGGAAAAAUAAAAGUUAUGGGAUUAGCUGUUAAAAUGUGUUUAGAAACGCAGAUAUACACUGCUGUUAAAUGCAGAUUUACAGGACAAAGGACUCUAAUGACUCUAAGUCAUGUGCCACUCCUCCCUCAUGAUUCUGCUGCAGACAGGGUCCCAAUCUGGAUUUAGCAUUUUUGGUGGUGAUGUAAGCUUCUGCCUCACUCAAGUGCAAUUUGUUCCAUUGUUUGUGACUUCAGUAUGCUGCCCUAAAAUUAUAUCAUAUUUUAAGGCCACAGAUUAUUAAGACUACAAACAAAAGGCAUCAUAAUCCUCAACAACCCUUUAACUCUGCUUCAGAAUGAUUUUAAAGGCUCAAAUCAAACUGUGGUGGCAAUUAGGUCUUGGAGUUGACCACAGGGAAAGAUCUGUUGUAAUGUUUGUCUGUUGUAAUUCCAAAGUAACUUUUUUAACCUUUUGGCAAUGGACAUAAUCUUUUUCUGAGCAGCCUGUUCUAGUGGGAUGUGGAAAGUGCCUGGAAUCAGAUAAUCUUUAAAGUCCCUUCACAAAUGAACUAUUCCAUAAUUCUAUUAUUCUGUGAAGUGAACAACAUCAGAAUAUUCUUAUUAAAUUUAAAGUGGAAAAGAGCCAGAAGAGUUGAUACUUCCCGAGAAAACCAAGUUGUCCUGCUCUGUAGGUGAAAGAAGGAGGCGGGGAGGGAAAGAGCACAGUGAAAUAAAGACCAGACUAUGUCCACUGCACCUCUGAAUGCUAUGAAAUAGAAACUCCACCUUAUUGUGAGGUGUCUGAGCCAGAGACUAAUGAAGUCAAUCUCUUUCAUUAGGAGGGUGAGGUUGAUUGGAUGCAAAAUCCUCCUUGGCUGAUUUAAGCUACCUUUGGUGUGAAGGAGCUGCAAAGCAAGUUCAGCCUAGGACAUCACUAGAGAGAAGAAGAAACCUGCAGGAAAGAGCAGAGAGGCGUUAGUAUACCAGCAAAUCUCUUUUUAUACAUUUUGUGGGUCCCUCUCUCUCACACAUGCGAAGUAAAGGUCCGGUGGACAUUGCAGUACCAAAUUCUGCCGUGACGCUGCUGCUGCCCAUGUGCGCCCCGGCGCUGUUGAUCCAUCCCAGGCACACACCACGUCUGUCCUUUGUUUUCUGCGAGAUUUUAUCACUCUUAGAAAAAGGACAGUACCCUUAUUGAAUGCCUUGAAUCCCAAGUCUAUUUGGCUGUCAUUGCAGGUUUGAUGUGCAGCGGUCUUUGUUUAAAAAGGCACAAUAUUUACAUAAACAGGCUGACCUUUUAAACCGCAUUUUAUCAGGAGGAGCUGAAGGGGAGGAGAUAAGGGGAGAGAAGGGGGCAGAGGAGCCUUUGCUACCUGUUGCCGUAAGAGAAAUCAUACCCUGAGGCAAAGAGACCUUUUGUUUUUAUAACUGCAUAAAGUAUCAUAUUUAUGUCUACAUAUUUAACAGACACUACACUUGAAAUGUACACUGAAUUGUUUUCUUUACAAACUGUAUCAUCCCCCCUUCAUUCCUUUUCUUACGUCCUCACUAUAGAAAAAAUCAAUAAAGCCCCAAGCAGCGUAAAUCAUUGCUAAGAUCAGCUCACUCCACGAUUCUUUAGCAUAAGAAUGAUUAGAUACGCUGACAGGAACAAACCAAUGUGAUGCCAGAGGAAUCCUGAGUUUCUGUGGUUUCCGACUUUUCCCCAGCAGAUUCUGGAAACAUAAAACUGCCAGGCUGGCAAACAGAUUGGAAUGCUUCACACUGGUGCUUACAGAGACAAUAGAAAGAAGACAAAAAGCUUCUUACUAAAAUCCCAGAAACUGCCAUCUCUUUUACAGACCGCACAGAGCCCAGCAGAGAGGUGCUGGUGGAACGCUCCAUAUUGCCUAGCACAUACAUCGCAUCAUCUGCGCGGUUCCUGCGCUCAUUUCACUGAUCUUGCUAAUCGUGAGUCGCACACAGCCCUGCUGCUGUGCUGCAGGGAUGCCGGAGCUCCGUGCUGCUCUGCACGCUGCUCCUGACACCUUCUGCCUUUCCGUCUACCCGCGCUGAGCUCCCAGCCCACCUGUGCCCGGGGAAAAGCCUUUUUAUUAGCCAUGACCGCGUGUCUGUCGGGGGACAUACAUCAAGCUCCAUAAAUGCUGGCGCUGCCUCCCUCUACCCCACACACCUUCAAAUUCCGCACGCAUUCCGGAGCCACUAUGCGAAGAGAAGGGUGAUGUUUCCACCGAGCCAGGUCAUUAUUUCCAUGCCGAGAGCCUGGAAGCAUCGAGAAGCGGGGGAAAUGGAGGGGCGAUGCUCCGCUUACCCGGGGCAGGAGAGGGACGCGGGUGAUGAGCAGGGGAAUUUCCGCCCAUCCCCUCUGCCCCGCAAACGCUCCUGGCCGUGGGGUCUCUCCCAAAAGCCGCUUCCCCGCUCAGGGAUCUCCGCAGCCC
rnacentral:lncRNA from 1 species